rnacentral:rRNA from 1 species
CCUACGGGUGGCAGCAGUGAGGAAUAUUGGUCAAUGGGCUUACGCCUGAACCAGCCAAGUCGCGUGAGGGAGGACGGCCCUACGGGUUGUAAACCUCUUUUGCCGGGGAGCAACGGGCGCCACGUGUGGCGUCACUGAGAGUACCCGGAGAAACAGCAUCGGCUAACUUCGUGCCAGCAGCCGCGGUAAUACGGAGGAUGCGAGCGUUAUCCGGAUUUAUUGGGUUUAAAGGGGGCGUAGGCGGAUCGUUAAGUCAGUGGUCAAAUUGAGGGGCCCAACCCCUUCCCGCCAUUGAAACUGGCGUUCUUGAGUGGAAGAGAAGUAUGCGGAAUGCGUGGUGUAGCGGUGAAAUGCAUAGAUAUCACGCAGAACCCCGAUUGCGAAGGCAGCAUGCCGGCUUCCGACUGACGCUGAAGCACGAAAGCGUGGGGAUCGAACAGGAUUAGAUACCCGGGUAGUC